rnacentral:rRNA from 1 species
UUUCUCCUACGGGAGGCAGCAGUAGGGAAUCUUCCGCAAUGGACGAAAGUCUGACGGAGCAACGCCGCGUGAGUGAAGAAGGUUUUCGGAUCGUAAAACUCUGUUGUAAGGGAAGAACAAGUACGUUAGUAACUGAACGUACCUGACGGUACCUACCAGAAGCUCGUUGCAAAAA